GACGAACCGAGCGAGCGUUAUUCGGAAUCACUGGGCUUAAAGGGCGCGUAGGCGGGCGAUCAAGUCAGGGGUGAAAGCCCCCAGCUCAACUGGGGAAGUGCCUUUGAUACUGGUCGUCUCGAGGGAGGUAGGGGCGUGCGGAACUUCCGGUGGAGCGGUGAAAUGCGCAGAUAUCAGGAGGAACACCGGUGGCGAAGGCGGAUCUCUGGGCCUUACCUGACGCUCAGGCGCGAAAGCUAGGGGAGCGAACUGG
rnacentral:rRNA from 1 species